rnacentral:lncRNA from 1 species
UCAGUAGUGAUUGGGCCUGUAAAGAAACAUCCCUUAAUUGGAACAUUUAAGUUUUUUUUUUACCUUGGGACUGUUCCUGAUCAGUCUCAUUCUAAUGCAAACUGUCAACUUAAUCUGACCUUUACCACCACAGACCUUGUGUCAACUCUUUGGCUCUGCUUUCUAAGCACCUAAGGAAUAAGCUUGCCUCAUCCAACAACCUCUUUACUGAGGAACCCGCUUAGCCCUUAUUCUCCAUUUAUUCUUCACAACAAAACAACCAGCACAAGAAACUGAAAAACAAAACUGUGCAUGCUUUAGAACCCAGCAGACUAAGAUUGGCUCCCUCUCACUGCUUUUCAUUUUUUUUCUUGCCCUUGCACAGUCACCUACUUAACCUGGAAUAGUUAAUGGUCCCCUUACCCUUUAACCUUCAGGUGUGGUGUAAAUGUCAAAGAACUAGCCUUGCUCUACUGGCACAAUGAGAAGUUUGUAUCAGUCAAACUGAUGCAAAAGAAAAAAAAUGCCCUUUGGCAUGGAAUCCAGAGAAAUAACAGACUGGGUGGUCAAGUUCUGUGUCCCCUGUCCAAUAUCUGUUCUCAGGUGUCACCAGCUCCUACUUGGUGACCAGAGCCUACUGUAGGCAGAGUAGUAACAGAUAAGCCCUUG